rnacentral:rRNA from 1 species
CGCAUCUGUGCAUGCAGCAUAUCAAUAAGCGGAGGAAAAGAAACUAACAAGGAUUCCCUUAGUAACGGCGAGUGAAGCGGGAAGAGCUCAAAUUUGAAAUCUUCAAGGUUUUACCUUGACGAAUUGUAGUUUAAAGAAGCGUUUUCUGUUGAAGUUUUGGUAAAAGUUCUUUGGAAUAGGACAUCAUAGAGGGUGAGAAUCCCGUAUUUGACCAUUAUUUUCAGCUGUGUGAUACACUUUCAAAGAGUCGGAUUGUUUGGGAAUGCAGUCCAAAAUGGGUGGUAAAUUUCAUCUAAAGCUAAAUAUUGGCGAGAGACCGAUAGCGAACAAGUACCGUGAGGGAAAGAUGAAAAGAACUUUGAAAAGAGAGUUAAACAGUACGUGAAAUUGUCAAAAGGGAAGCGUUUGACACCAGUGUUGUUUUCUCGAAAAUCAAUUAAAAAGAGUUUAGAUUUUGUUGUGUAUUGACCUUAACAGCUUGCAUUUCAAUUUUCUUGCUUUUUUUAAUGACACUUUUCGUUUAACAAGUCAACAUCAGUUUCUUUUGUUGUAAAAAGGUCAUUGGAAGGUGGCUUUCUUUUCGGAGAAAGUGUUUAUAGCCUUUGACUCCUGCAAUCGGAGAGACUGAGGUCUGCAGCGUAGAUCCUUCGGGGUUAGAUACAUUUGUGCUAAGUUAUAGCUUUUUAUAGACAACUUGUUGACUAUGAUUAGUCUUGUAGCUUACUCGCUUAUGCUAUUUUACCUACGCUUAGGAUGUUGACGCGCGUGUGUGCGUGAUCUAUACAUGACUCUGUGCAUAUCAAUAAGCGGAGGAAAAGCAUACCACCGAUGAUAUGAUGUUCACCGUGGAAACCGUUUCCUGUCUGGGUACCUACGCUUAGGAUGUUGAUGUGAUACUGCGAGC